GCCUACGGCCAUACCGCCCUGAAAGCGCCCGAUCUCGUCUGAUCUCGGAAGCUAAGCAGGGACGGGCUUGGUUAGUACCUGGAUGGGAGACCGCUUGGGAAUACCAGGUGUUGUAGGCU
rnacentral:rRNA from 1 species